rnacentral:rRNA from 1 species
UACGUAGGGUGCAAGCGUUGUCCGGAAUUAUUGGGCGUAAAGAGCUCGUAGGCGGUCUGUCGCGUCUGCUGUGAAAACUCGGGGCUUAACCCCGGGCCUGCAGUGGGUACGGGCAGACUAGAGUGCGGUAGGGGAGACUGGAAUUCCUGGUGUAGCGGUGAAAUGCGCAGAUAUCAGGAGGAACACCGAUGGCGAAGGCAGGUCUCUGGGCAUUAACUGACGCUGAGGAGCGAAAGCAUGGGGAGCGAACGGG